CUGAUGCAGCCAUGCCGCGUGUGUGAAGAAGGCUCUAGGGUUGUAAAGCACUUUCAGUCGGGAGGAAAGGGUAGUAGUUAAUACCUGCUAUCUGUGACGUUACCGACAGAAGAAGCACCGGCUAACUCCGUGCCAGCAGCCGCGGUAAUACGGAGGGUGCGAGCGUUAAUCGGAAUUACUGGGCGUAAAGCGCACGCAGGCGGUCUGUUAAGCUAGAUGUGAAAGCCCCGCGCUCAACGUGGGAGGGUCAUUUAGAACUGGCAGACUAGAGUCUUGGAGAGGGGAGUGGAAUUCCAGGUGUAGCGGUGAAAUGCGUAGAGAUCUGGAGGAACAUCAAUGGCGAAGGCAACUCCCUGGCCAAAGACUGACGCUCAUGUGCGAAAGUGUGGGUAGCGAACAGGAUUAGAUACCCUGGUAGUCCACACCGUAAACGCUGUCUACUAGCUGUUUGUGAAUUUAAUUCGUGAGUAGCGAAGCUAACGCGAUAAGUAGACCGCCUGGGGAGUACGGCCGCAAGGUUAAAACUCAAAUGAAUUGACGGGGGCCCGCACAAGCGGUGGAGCAUGUGGUUUAAUUCGAUGCAACGCGAAGAACCUUACCUACUCUUGACAUACUAGAAACUUUUCAGAGAUGAAUUGGUGCCUUCGGGAAUCUAGAUACAGGUGCUGCAUGGCUGUCGUCAGCUCGUGUCGUGAGAUGUUGGGUUAAGUCCCGCAACGAGCGCAACCCUUGUCCUUAGUUGCCAGCCUUAAGUUGG
rnacentral:rRNA from 1 species